AGUGAACGCUGGCGGUAGGCCUAACACAUGCAAGUCGAACGGCAGCACAGGAGAGCUUGCUCUCUGGGUGGCGAGUGGCGGACGGGUGAGGAAUACAUCGGAAUCUACUGUGUCGUGGGGGAUAACGGAGGGAAACUUAAGCUAAUACCGCAUACGACCUACGGGUGAAAGGAGGGGAACCUCGGAUCCUGCGAGAUUGACUGAGCCGAUGGCGGAGUAGCUAGUUGGCGGGGUAAAGGCCCACCAAGGCGACGAUCCGUAGCUGGUCUGAGAGGAUGAUCAGCCACACUGGAACUGAGACACUGUCCAGACUCCUACGGGAGGCAGCAGUGGGGAAUAUUGGACAAUGGGCGCAAGCCUGAUCCAGCCAUACCGCGUGGGUGAGGAAGGCCUUCGGGUUGUAAAGCCCUUUUGUUGGGAAAGAAAUCCAGCUGGCUAAUACCCGGUUGGGAUGACGGUACCCAAAGAAUAAGCACCGGCUAACUUCUUGCCAGCAGCCGCGGUAA
rnacentral:rRNA from 1 species